UCUUGUAGCCCACAAGAUCCAGUAGGCCUAAUAAGCACCAGGCAGAAACCCACCAUUCCAGAGUGGACAUGUACAGUGUCAGAAGAAGAGCCAGGAGCCAGCAGUGAGGGUAUUGCUCCUGUUGGGAUAGAAGGUGAGCCAACUCAUGUGCAAACAAGCAAACAUUAGUUAAUUUUAAUGUCCAAAUAAUAGUAGUGACCUGUUGUAUUUUUAUUAGUAAAUGCACAAAGCCCACAACAGAUAGUUAUUAGAAUGAAAGUAAAAUGAAAUAAGCCUGCAUAUUUUGCCAUAGAAAAUAUUUUAAUUGGUUACAAAAAAUGUGUUUUCCAUAUCAAAUGUGCUAAAGCUUUACAGAUGAUUAUUUUAAUUGUGUGCAGGUGAGUAUAGGGAAACUGGAAAAAGUGUGAAAGGGAGUGCUGAGUCAUUUCAUUUUAAAGGUUUGAAAAUCUCAGAACAGCUGUUUGAACAGAAGGUAGAUUGUUAUAUUGUUAGAGAAUGUGUUGUAAAGAACAAUGUUGGAGAUGUGCACUGAUGUUCAAAUAAACCUACAUUGUAAAGCAA